AUACAAGGCAUGGCCUCCGAGAUUAGCAAGCGCCGCGGUUGCCAAUCUCAAAGGACAAGUACAAGGACCGUAACCCUACGUAAGUGGCGCCGCCAUAGAUGACGGGCGUUUCGCGCUCAUCCGGCAGGCAAGGAAAAUGUAGGAGGCUGUGCUGCUGCAUGCAGGA
rnacentral:lncRNA from 1 species